UACGUAGGCAGCAAGCGUUGUUCGGAGUUACUGGGCGUAAAGGGUGCGUAGGCGGCUUGGUAAAUGUGGUGUGAAAUCUCCCGGCUCAACUGGGAGGGUGCGCUACAAACUGCCGGGCUAGAGUGCGGGAGAGGAGAGUGGAAUUCCUGGUGUAGCGGUGAAAUGCGUAGAUAUCAGGAGGAACACCGGUGGUGUAAACGGCUCUCUGGACCGUAACUGACGCUGAGGCACGAAAGCGUGGGUAGCAAACAGG
rnacentral:rRNA from 1 species